ensembl:rRNA 5S_rRNA 5S ribosomal RNA
GUCUACGGCCAUAUCACCCCGAAAGUGCCCGAUCUGGUCUGAUCGCAGAAGCUAAGCGGGGUCGGGCCUGGUUAAUGUUUGGAUGAGAGGAAGGGGCUUCACAAAGCAAGAGUGCCUAGGGCCUAUGGACA